rnacentral:lncRNA from 1 species
AAUCUAUCUAUUAGAUCCAUCAUUCAUUGGCAUGUAUGACUUUUAUUAUUAUUUUUAAUCGACGUUGUACACGAAAUUUUUCUUAUUCUCUUGUGUUGUUUUUGGUUUUGCUGCUGCUUCUAGCAACUAGCAGUGUCCGAUUUGCGGUCAAGAUAUCGGAUUUGGGUGCACCUAUGGUAGCUCGGCUUCUGGCUGGCGUUUUCAAAACUUAAGUAAAGGAAGUUAUUGAUGAGAAUGUAUAUCAAGACUUAUGUACAAAAUAUAUUUAACCCAAUAUUUUAAAGUGUAUGUAUGAAGAACAAAUGCAUUAUUUUGUAUGUUACUGUUUGAAAAAUGCAGAGAAAAGCUUCUAAUUUACUUGUGUUUCCGGGUGCUG